AGCGGGGAGGUGGCCGUCAUGGCGGCGGAGGAGGAAGCGGCUCCGCUGAGCGGUGUGGGCUGGGCGGCGGGGCCCGAGUCGGCUCCAGCGGGCUGGAGCGUGAUCACCACCAGCGUUGAGGGCAGCGCGGCCAACCUGGGCAAAGGCUUCGGACACAAGGGCGGGUACCUGUGUGUGAGCACCGCAGCUCCGGGCUCGGCCGGGCCUGUGGUGACCGAUGUCCAGGUGCUGAGCGAUCGAAAUCCGCAACCCGCGGGCUACAGCCGUGCCCCCGAGUUCCCAGAGCCUCGUUCGGGUGUGUCCCGUAAGAAGCGGCUCUAUGUGAGGCUGCAGCCCCGUGGGGCUGCUGAGACGGCCGUGUUUGACAUCAAACUGAGUGGGAAGAGCAGAGCUGUGCCUCAGUACAUGAAGAUCGGGGAAAUCGGUAGCUUUGCCAUCUGGUGUAAGAAAGGAGCCCUUCCCCAAUGCAGCCCUCCUCCUGUCCCCAAGCCCAGGACAGUCAGCCUGGGGCUGAAGCAGCUCUCGUUGGCCGACUCUGAACAGCAGGCACCAGGGAAGCCCGUGGCUCAGUCUGGCUCCAGGCAUGCAUCGUUCACACUGCACAACUCAGCUGAUGAUGGCUCCAGCAUCUACAACCUCUCAGCGAUGGAUGGAGUCCCUUUCACACUACACCCCAAAUUCGAGCGCAGUCCCAAAUCCGACAGCAGUGCCAUCCUCACUGACCUGACUGUCAAAUCGCUCGCUGACAUUGAGAAAGAGUACAACUACACUUUUGUAGUGGAACGGACGGCAGCCGCUCGCCUCCCUCCCUCCAUUUGCUGACACCACUCAGUGCUGUGAGGACGUGAAGCGCUGACCCACGCUCCCUCCCUAAUUAAGAUCCAAUUACAGGAAGUGCUGAGGGACGACAAUAAAGGCGUUUCUCUCAUCGCCUGCCAAAGUAUUUUCGUAAUGGUUUUGGGAUGUGCGGCUGCGAUGGAGGAGUUCCUGGUGCUGUUGCUUCUGUGAUUUGAAGUGUGGGGCAGAGAGGGGUGGAAGUGUGGGGCGGUAUGGGUGUGUUUAUGGCGGUGUUUCUUCUCCCGUGCUUUGACAACACCGCAGCUCUACUCUGAACAUCGGCUCCUGUCGGAUGUUAGUGUUUCUGGUGCCACCUUUCAGCCUAAUCUUCCCUUCAAUGUAUACUCCCCAUUAAAAACAUCACAAAGGAAGUCCCAGCCACAUUUCAAAAUACAUCGGGCUUGAUUUUUAGUUACCAAAUUCUGUAAACGUCUCCUGGAGUGGGGCAGUACAAAACUCCCACCGGGCGCUGCAUCCUGGGAACACCAAAAAGUCAUUUCACAGAGGUGAUUUCCACGUGAGAUGGGAGGAAACUCCCUGGAGCUCAAGAGUUGCUCUCAAAUCAUAGGGAUGAUUUCUGGGGUGCCCCCCGCAGGGCCCUGGCGCUGUGUUCACGAAGGCACUUUGAGUUUUGCUCUCCCCAGCAGGAACUGAAGGAUGCGGUCUGCCAACAAGGCAAGGAAGAAGUCUGCCAGCAGCACCUCCGUGAUGACGAUCUUGAACUGGGAAACAAACGCAACGAGAAAGAGCAGCAUGUGAUGGCUUUCUCCACUCUCCUCCUUUGAAAACGGCAGAGAUGUGGCACAUGGGAACGUGGGGCGAUGGCUGAUGAUCUUAAGAGGCCUUUUCUAAUUUAUUAUAACUUUCUUGUAACUAAUAACUUUUCUAACCUUAAUGGCUCUAGGAUGAGCUGCUCCUGUGCUGGAGGAAGGGACACUUACUUGGAACCACUGCGCACCUGGGCACCGUGGUACAGGUAAACGAGGCUGAGGAAAUGCACCAGGAACUGCAGCAGCACUGUCAGCACCGUGUAGAGGUUGAAGAUGUUCGGCAGCGGGCGCUCCUUGGACAGAGUCUUCAAAGGCUGGGAGCAAAAAGCAAGCGGGGUUGGCUACAGCGGUGCAGACCUCUCCAUGCAGUUUUCCACCACUCUGGGUUUGUUUGUUAAUUAAAACAGCUUCAUUUUGGA